AGCAGACAGGGAGAAGUGGCAUAGAGACAAAGAAACAUCAUCAAACCAGGGCCUUACACUACCCAUCAGAAAUGACGAGAGUAGCCCAAGUGGGAGAGAAAGCAAAUGCAAUCUCAAAGAAGGCUCUUAAAACACUGACAGAAAUGACCAGGGAGGCCCUGCUGAAACAGUCUUGCUGGAGCUUGACAGCAUUGGUGGCCUUUGGAUGAGAAUGGCCUCAUAGACUCACAUGCUUGAAUCCUUGGUCCCCUUUGGUGGAAAUGUGAGGAAAGCAUUAGGAUAUAUGGCCUUGUUGGAGGAGGUGUCUCUGAGGUGGACUUUGAACAGCUGCUGCUCCUAGUGCACACUCUGCUUCGUGCUUCCAGAUCAAGAAGGGAGCUCUCUGCUGUGCCUGCUGCAGUCCUGAUCUCCAACCCCAGGAAACAAAACGCUUCCGGUAAAUGUCUCUUGUCAAGAACAUUGCUGUGGAUAAAAAUAAAUCCUGGAUUUGAAACACAGUCCUCUUCUCAGCAGGGUAGGGUUCUUAGAUGAUCACUAAGAACUGCAAUAAAUAUAUGGAUGCACUAAUGCUUCCUUAUUAAGGGGUAGACAAAGGGACUCCUCUGUCUCUGUCUCUGUCUCUCUCUUUCUUUCUGCUGGUUGUUCAACAUGGAAAGUCUCCAAACAAACAAACUGCAUUUAUUCCUGUUGAGAGAAACUCUAUUAUUAUUAUUUUUUUCUGGUUUUUUGAGACAGGGUUUCUCUGUGUAGCUUUGCGCCUUUCCUGGAAUUCAACUCUGUAGACCAGGCUGGCCUCGAACUCACAGAGAUCCGCCUGGCUCUGCCUCCGAGUGCUGGGAUUAAAGGCGUUCGCCACCACCGCCCGGCUGAGAGAAACUCUAGAGUCAAAAUGUCAUGAUUUUAGUGAAAGAUCUGAUGUGUGAGAUAGCCUGGGGCAACAGCCAGGCUGAAGAAUCAAAACACAGAUUGAAGGGUGUCCAGUGGCUCUUGCUUGUAAUCCUUAUAUAAAAAUAAGGCCAGCUUGGGUAACAGUCAAGAUAUGUACACACACACACACACACACACACACACACACACACACACACACACACACACAAAUACCUGAUGAAAGUCCAAAGUCAUUUAGCUUAAUCACCAGCAGGAGAACAAUGUUUUAUACACAAACCUCUGAAGAAUGAGAGAAAGCCCUGGAAAUGAUACACAAAAAUAACAGAGUUAAAACAGGACUCAGACCAAGGAAGCAGGUAGGCUAAUUGCAGACGUUUCUCCAAAGUCCUUCCCUACUUUCCACUUUAGCCUGGGCCACAACUCCAGCAGGAGCUCCCUGGGAACCUGAGGUCACUCCAGCCAGACAUGUAGGAAGGCUAACUAAAGAUCUUUACCACUCCCUCCUCUCCUACAAAUUGAAUCCCCAUGUCUUACCCCCAUCUCUGUAGCACACAACCUUGCAGCCUCCUCAUCCUCUUUGCCCCCAUCUCCAGUCCAUCACACAGAUCUACCCCUCCGAAAUUUGUUCCCCCAACUCACUGCUUUAUCUCAGUCCCCAGCACCAUUGGUAUUUCCUGGGAUCCAGCCAGCCAAGCCAGCCCCUGCCAGUGAAUCAUUAGGACAUUAAAGCAGGUAGAUAAGCUUCAGGUUU